rnacentral:tRNA from 2 species
GGGCCUGUAACUCAGCGGUAGAGUACCUGCCUUUUAAGCAGGGAGUCGAUGAUUCGAAUUCAUCCAGGCUCACCA